rnacentral:rRNA from 1 species
UACAGAGGGUGCGAGCGUUAAUCGGAAUUACUGGGCGUAAAGGGCGCGUUAGGCGGCCUUCUAAGUCAGACGUGAAAUCCCCAGGCUUAACUUGGGAACUGCGUCUGAUACUGGGAGGCUUGAGUGCGGGAGAGGGAUGUGGAAUUCUCGGUGUAGCAGUGAAAUGCGUAGAUAUCGAGAGGAACACCUGCGGCGAAGGCGGGAUAGCUGGGCCGAACACUGACGCUGAUGCGCGAAAGCCAGGGGAAGCGAACGG